rnacentral:miRNA from 1 species
AUAUAUAUCUGUAUCUAGCUCCGUAUAUAUAUAUAUAGAUAUCUCCAUAUAUAUGGAGAUAGAUAUAGAUAUAAAACAAGCAAAGAA